AGUGAACGCUGGCGGUAGGCCUAACACAUGCAAGUCGAACGGCAGCACAGUAAGAGCUUGCUCUUACGGGUGGCGAGUGGCGGACGGGUGAGGAAUACAUCGGAAUCUACUUUUUCGUGGGGGAUAACGUAGGGAAACUUACGCUAAUACCGCAUACGACCUACGGGUGAAAGCAGGGGAUCUUCGGACCUUGCGCGAUUGAAUGAGCCGAUGUCGGUUUAGCUAGUUGGCGGGGUAAAGUCCCACCAAGGCGACGAUCCGUAGCUGGUCUGAGAGGAUGAUCACCCACACUGGAGCUGAGACACGGUCCAGACUCCUACGGGAGGCAGCAGUGGGGAAUAUUGGACAAUGGGCGCAAGCCUGAUCCAGCCAUACCGCGUGUGUGAAGAAGGCCUUCGGGUUGUAAAGCCCUUUUGUUGGGAAAGAAAAGCAGCAGGUUAAUACCCCGCUGUUCUGACGGUACCCAAAGAAUAAGCACCGGCUAACUUCGUG
rnacentral:rRNA from 1 species